GACGAACGCUGGCGGCGUGCUUAACACAUGCAAGUCGAACGGUAAGGCCCUUCGGGGUACACGAGUGGCGAACGGGUGAGUAACACGUGGGUGAUCUGCCCUGCACUUCGGGAUAAGCCUGGGAAACUGGAUCUAAUACCGGAUAGGACCACUGCCUGCAUGGGUGGUGGUGGAAAGCUUUUGCGGUGUGGGAUGGGCCCGCGGCCUAUCAGCUUGUUGGUGGGGUGACGGCCUACCAAGGCGACGACGGGUAGCCGGCCUGAGAGGGUGACCGGCCACACUGGGACUGAGAUACGGCCCAGACUCCUACGGGAGGCAGCAGUGGGGAAUAUUGCACAAUGGGCGCAAGCCUGAUGCAGCGACGCCGCGUGAGGGAUGACGGCCUUCGGGUUGUAAACCUCUUUCAGCACCGACGAAGCGCAAGUGACGGUAUGUGCAGAAGAAGGACCGGCCAACUACGUGCCAGCAGCCGCGGUAA
rnacentral:rRNA from 1 species